rnacentral:rRNA from 1 species
CAAUAGCGUAUAUUAAAGUUGUUGCGGUUAAAAAGCUCGUAGUUGGAUCUCGGCGAGCAGAGGGCGGUUCGUUAUUCGACGCUACUACCCUAUUUGCUCGUGUUUUUGUCGGAGGUCUCUUGGUGCUCUUAACCGAGUGUCAAGUGAUGCCGGCAGGUUUACUUUGAAAAAAUUAGAGUGCUCAAAGCAGGCUUUACACGCUUGAAUAUUCGUGCACGGAAUAAUAGAAUAGGACGUCGUUUCUAUUUUGUUGGUUUUCGGAAAUCGACGUAAUGAUUAAUAGGGACAGUCGGGGGCAUUAGUAUUCCAACGACAGAGGUGAAAUUCUUGGACCGUUGGAAGACUAACUACUGCGAAAGCAUUUGCCAAGAAUGUUUUCAUUAA